AGAUUGAACGCUGGCGGCAUGCCUUACACAUGCAAGUCGAACGGCAGCACGGGAGCAAUCCUGGUGGCGAGUGGCGAACGGGUGAGUAAUAUAUCGGAACGUGCCCAGUCGUGGGGGAUAACGCAGCGAAAGCUGUGCUAAUACCGCAUACGAUCUAUGGAUGAAAGCGGGGGAUCGCAAGACCUCGCGCGAUUGGAGCGGCCGAUAUCAGAUUAGCUAGUUGGUGGGGUAAAGGCCCACCAAGGCGACGAUCUGUAGCUGGUCUGAGAGGACGACCAGCCACACUGGAACUGAGACACGGUCCAGACUCCUACGGGAGGCAGCAGUGGGGAAUUUUGGACAAUGGGCGCAAGCCUGAUCCAGCAAUGCCGCGUGCAGGAUGAAGGCCUUCGGGUUGUAAACUGCUUUUGUACGGAACGAAACGGUCCUUUCUAAUAUAAGGGGCUAAUGACGGUACCGUAAGAAUAAGCACCGGCUAACUACGUGCCAGCAGCCGCGGUAAUA
rnacentral:rRNA from 1 species